rnacentral:rRNA from 1 species
GACGAACGCUGGCGGCGUGCUUAACACAUGCAAGUCGAACGGAAAGGCCCUGCUUUUGUGGGGUGCUCGAGUGGCGAACGGGUGAGUAACACGUGAGUAACCUGCCCUUGACUUUGGGAUAACUUCAGGAAACUGGGGCUAAUACCGGAUAGGAGCUCCUGCUGCAUGGUGGGGGUUGGAAAGUUUCGGCGGUUGGGGAUGGACUCGCGGCUUAUCAGCUUGUUGGUGGGGUAGUGGCUUACCAAGGCUUUGACGGGUAGCCGGCCUGAGGGGGUGACCGGCCACAUGGGGACGGAGAUACGGCCCAGCCCCCUAGGGGGGGCAGCGGGGGGGAAUAUUGCACAAGGGGGGGAAGCCGGAUGCAGCAACGCCGGGGGCGGGAUGACGGCCUUCGGGUGGUAAACCGCUUUCGCCGGGGACGAAGGGUGAGUGACGGUAAUGGGUAAAGAAGCACCGGCUAACUACGU